rnacentral:rRNA from 1 species
UCGAGAAUCUUCGGCAAUGGGCGAAAGCCUGACCGAGCGACGCCGCGUGCGGGAUGAAGGUCUUCGGAUUGUAAACCGCUGUCAGAGGGGAUGAAGUUAUGGUGGGUUCUCCCUCCAUAUUGACAGAGCCUCAGAGGAAGCACGGGCUAAGUAUGUGCCAGCAGCCGCGGUAAUACAUACUGUGCGAACGUUAUUCGGAUUCACUGGGCUUAAAGGGUGCGUAGGCGGCUUGUUAAGUAGGGUGUGAAAGCCCCCGGCUCAACCGGGGAACUGCAUUCUAAACUGGCUAGCUAGAGUGAGAUAGGGGUGUGUGGAACUGCCAGUGGAGCGGUGAAAUGCGUAGAUAUAGGAAGGAACACCAGUGGCGAAGGCGACCACCUGGACUGAUACUGACACUGAGGUGCGAAAGCGUGGGGAGCAAACAGGAUUAGAUACCCCGGUAGUCCCUGAGCGGGCUGGCAAGGCGCAU